GCCCAGAGCCAGCCGAGGGCGCGGGGAUAAAACCGCCCCGCCAGCGAGCGCCCUUUAUACUGGCGUGCGGAGCGGCGGCAGCAGCGAGCGGCGGGAGUGAGCAUCACCGCACGGCGACACCGAGACACCUGCCAACAUGUCCGACAAACCAGACAUGGCUGAGAUCGAGAAAUUUGACAAGUCCAAAUUGAAGAAGACAGAGACGCAAGAGAAAAAUCCGCUGCCUUCAAAAGAAACAAUUGAACAGGAGAAGCAAGCGGGUGAAUCGUAAUGAAAUCUGCCCUUCCAAAUUAUGCACUGUACAUUCCACAAGCAUUGCCUUCUUAUUUUACUUCUUUUAGCUGUUUAACUUUGUAAGAUGCAAAGAGGUUGGAUAAAGUUUAAAAUGACUGUACUGCCCCUUUCACAUCAAAAGAAUAGAGAGAACUACUGACACUGAAUGAAGGCGCUGCCUUUCCCUCUGCCUGUCUGGCUUUGGUCCUGGUGGCAUGAAAGAGCUUGCAUGUUGAUGAAAGAAGAACUUGGGUGGGACUACAGUAAACUAGAGUAACACACGAAUAAAUGCAAAGCUGUACCAAGGUCCUGCGAGCUGUAAAAUGCAGUUAAUCGAGUGCCAUUUUUUUUUUUUUUGUUCAAAUGAUUUUAAUUAUUGGAAUGCACAAUUUUUUUAAUAUGCAAAUAAAAUGUUUUAAAACCUG